ACGGUCACAUAACGUUGAAACUCCGGUUUCCAUACGAUCACCGAAGUUAAGCAACUUCGAGUCUACUUAGUACCUAGAUGGGUGACUUCUUGGAAAUACCGGUUGC